UACAGAGGGUGCAAGCGUUAAUCGGAAUUACUGGGCGUAAAGGGCGCGUAGGUGGCCUUCUAAGUCGAACGUGAAAUCCCUGGGCUCAACCCAGGAACUGCGUCCGAUACUGGAAGGCUUGAAUCCGGGAGAGGGAUGCGGAAUUCCAGGUGUAGCGGUGAAAUGCGUAGAUAUCUGGAGGAACACCGGUGGCGAAGGCGGCAUCCUGGACCGGCAUUGACGCUGAGGCGCGAAAGCCAGGGGAGCAAACGGG
rnacentral:rRNA from 1 species